UACGAAGGGGGCUAGCGUUGCUCGGAAUCACUGGGCGUAAAUGGUGCGUAGGCGGGUCUUUAAGUCAGGGGUGAAAUCCUGGAGCUCAACUCCAGAACUGCCUUUGAUACUGAGGAUCUUGAGUUCGGGAGAGGUGAGUGGAACUGCGAGUGUAGAGGUGAAAUUCGUAGAUAUUCGCAAGAACACCAGUGGCGAAGGCGGCUCACUGGCCCGAUACUGACGCUGAGGCACGAAAGCCAGGGGAGCAAACGGG
rnacentral:rRNA from 1 species